rnacentral:rRNA from 1 species
UUAACCGCAUAGGGGAGCCGGAGGGAAACCGAGUCUUAAUUGGGCGUUAAGUUGCAGGGUAUAGACCCGAAACCCGGUGAUCUAGCCAUGGGCAGGUUGAAGGUUGGGUAACACUAACUGGAGGACCGAACCGACUAAUGUUGAAAAAUUAGCGGAUGACCUGUGGCUGGGGGUGAAAGGCCAAUCAAACCGGGAGAUAGCUGGUUCUCCCCGAAAGCUAUUUAGGUAGCGCCUCGUGAAUUCAUCUCCGGGGGUAGAGCACUGUUUCGGCUAGGGGGCCAUCCCGGCUUACCAACCCGAUGCAAACUGCGAAUACCGGAGAAUGUUAUCACGGGAGACACACGGCGGGUGCUAACGUCCGUCGUGAAGAGGGAAACAACCCAGACCGCCAGCUAAGGUCCCAAAGUCACAGUUAAGUGGGAAACGAUGUGGGAAGGCCCAGACAGCCAGGAUGUUGGCUUAGAAGCAGCCAUCAUUUAAAGAAAGCGUAAUAGCUCACUGGUCGAGUCGGCCUGCGCGGAAGAUGUAACGGGGCUAAACCAUGCACCGAAGCUGCGGCAGCGACGCUGAUGCGUUGUUGGGUAGGGGAGCGUUCUGUAAGCCUGUGAAGGUGGCCUGUGAGGGUUGCUGGAGGUAUCAGAAGUGCGAAUGCUGACAUAAGUAACGAUAAAGCGGGUGAAAAGCCCGCUCGCCGGAAGACCAAGGGUUCCUGUCCAACGUUAAUCGGGGCAGGGUGAGUCGACCCCUAAGGCGAGGCCGAAAGGCGUAGUCGAUGGGAAACGGGUUAAUAUUCCCGUACUUGGUGUUACUGCGAAGGGGGGACGGAGAAGGCUAUGUUGGCCGGGCGACGGUUGUCCCGGUUUAAGCGUGUAGGCUGGUUUUCCAGGCAAAUCCGGAAAAUCAAGGCUGAGGCGUGAUGACGAGGCACUACGGUGCUGAAGCAACAAAUGCCCUGCUUCCAGGAAAAGCCUCUAAGCAUCAGGUAACAUCAAAUCGUACCCCAAACCGACACAGGUGGUCAGGUAGAGAAUACCAAGGCGCUUGAGAGAACUCGGGUGAAGGAACUAGGCAAAAUGGUGCCGUAACUUCGGGAGAAGGCACGCUGACACGUAGGUGAAGUGAUUUACUCAUGGAGCUGAAGUCAGUCGAAGAUACCAG